UAUAUAUUCACCUAUUUCUUGUAGUCUGGCCUUCUUCAUGUUUCUUUCCAAUUUUUCAAACUAUAAUUUUGUAUUUCUAACCAUGAACUUUUGUUUUGCAUGAAACUACAUAACAGCUUGGUCAAAAGAUACAACCGUGAAUCAUCUACGAUCCGGUCCAUACGUAAAGAAUGUUUCUGAGUAUAUAUAUAUUCAAGUUAAUCUUAAAUGUUUACUAGCUAAGUAUAUGACACACGUGGCCAUGGAGAGAACAACGAGAGAUGGAGAAAGAGAGACGUAAGUAUCGAUUUAGCCAACGGCUCAUACCACACGCAAGAAUAAUAAUGUUCUUUGCGUUUUUUUACCAAUACAUCAGAGACAAAUGUUAGGCGGACGUCCUUUCCUUUUUGAUUUCGUUCUCCUUUAGUGAACUUUCUUUUCCUUUGUAAUUCUCAUAUACAUGAAUAAUUUUAUAAUUAUCUGUAGGCUACAUAAGUCAAUAUACAAAAAGAACAUUAUCACGAGAAAACUUUUACAUGUUUGGACGGUUGGAAGGAUAACAUCCAAGGUUUAUCCAUCAUGUACAUGAAAAGCAAAGUUUCAAGAAGAAUAAGUAGAAACUAACAAUCGUGAUGAUUGGUUGAAAUUUAACUUAAGACUUUAGCUUUAUUUAUUUUUAAAAUACUAAUUCUGAC
rnacentral:lncRNA from 1 species